CCGCCAAAGCCAGCACCAAUGCAUCAAUCAUAGGAUUCAAGUGUGAGGGAAGAAUAAAAAAUCACUCACACCAAAUCACACCAAAUCACAUUUCUUUGUAUGACACUGUAAACAUAGAGACACUCAUUUAUUCCCUUUGGUCCCCAUUGUAGUUUCUACCCCUAAACCUGCCCUCCGUGCCGUCCCUAUAAGCCCUAAAUAUCUACCCGAUACCAACCAAAUUCAAAGCUCACAUUUUUUAUCCUCUCUCUCUCUCUCGCAAACCCAUAGCUUUCACAGUUGCGUGCCUACAUUGGGCAUUUGACCUAUAACCCAUUGUCCCAGCUCAUUUCUGAAUUCUGAGAGUGAGGGAGUGAGACUAAGAGCUCUAUAUACAGUGGUCACUCUCUCUCCUCACUGUUGGCCAAUUUGGAGCUGCUGCAGCUUCUACAUUUCUGCUUAAUUCCCUUUUGCAGUCUCCAAGCUGAGCACUAAGAAUGGCGACCAGCACUAGCUUCAGCUACUGCUCUUCACUAUUCUUAUCAAUUCUAAUCAUUUCAGGGUUCGUGUUUGCUGAAAUGGUGAAUUCAAUGGGGAUAAACUACGGCCAAAUCGCCAACAACUUACCUUCGCCGGACGACGUUGUUCCGUUGGUGAAGUCCAUCGGCAUCUCCAAGAUCAAGCUCUACGACGCCGAUCCCAAAGUCCUCAAGGCCUUCGCCAACACCGGCGUCCAGUUCAUAGUAGGCCUGGGCAACGAGUACCUCACCAAGGUCCAAGACCCGGCCCAGGCCCAAAACUGGGUCAAGUCCAAUGUUCAGGCCCACUUACCCGCCACCAACAUCACCUGCAUCUUCGUCGGCAACGAGGUCCUCACCUUCAACGACACGUCUUUGAGCAACAAUCUCCUCCCCGCCAUGCAAAGCGUCCACGCCGCCCUCGUCUCUCUCAAUCUCGACAAGCAAGUCACCGUCACCACCGCCCAUUCCCUCUCCAUUCUCGAGACCUCGUUCCCGCCGUCGGCCGGAGCUUUCCGGCAAGAUCUGACCGGCUGCAUCACUCCGAUCCUCAACUUCCACUCCAAAACAGGCUCGCCGUUCUUGAUCAACGCAUACCCCUACUUCGCCUACAAGUCAAACCCUAAGCAGGUGCCUCUGGACUACGUCCUCUUCCAGCCCAACUCCGGCUCGCUCGAUUCGGGCACCAGUCUCCACUACGACAACAUGCUCUUCGCUCAGAUCGACGCCGUUUACUCCGCCCUAGCUGCGCUAGGGUUUAAGAAGCUUCCGGUUCACAUCUCCGAGACCGGUUGGCCAUCAAAGGGCGACGAGGACGAAGCCGGAGCGACGCCGGAGAACGCGAAGAAGUAUAACGGGAAUCUGAUCAAGCUCAUCUGCCAGAAGAAGGGCACGCCGCUGAGGCCCGGGUCGGAUCUCAACAUCUACGUCUUCGCUCUGUUCAAUGAGAACAUGAAACCCGGCCCGACUUCCGAGAGGAACUUUGGGCUUUUCAAACCCGACGGGUCGCCCGCGUACUCAAUCGGGCUGUCGGUGAGCAACAGCUCCUUUGGUAACGGUAACUCGAGUUCGAAUUCGGGUUCGGGUUCGGGCGGGUUGGUGAAUCCGAUUACUCCCUCUGCACCGGGAACUUCCAGUUCUGGCUACUUGGCAAUUUCGUCCGCAGCGGUCACGGAGAGAUGCCAUGUGAUUGGUUUGAUUCCCAUGUUAGUGGUCUUGUUGCUCAGAGCAGUAAGUGCUCAAGCCUUUUAAUCAGAAAUCAAGAUGUGAAUGGACGGCGGAAAAGAUAGAGGGAAAAAAAAAAGAAGAAAAAAAAAAGACUACUUGAGAAUUAAGGGAAAAAAAAGGAGAAUUAUUUUCCUUGUCUUAAUAACUCUAGUCAUUAGGGAGAGAGGUGUUAGUAUAGUGCUGCUGCUGAUGAGGACGUCUGGAAGGAGGCAGUCUAGAGAGAGAGUUAUUGAUUUAUUUGAUCACUUUUGUAUUUGUCGUAGUACGUAUCUGUGUCAUCUUGGAUUGUGUUGUUACUGUGUAUGGACUAUUUCACCUUAUCUAUUCAAGAUUCUUGCAGAAAAA